GAUGAACGCUAGCGGCAGGCUUAACACAUGCAAGUCGAGGGGUAUAUCACUUCGGUGAUAGAGACCGGCGCACGGGUGCGUAACGCGUAUGCAACCUACCUUGAACAGGGGAAUAGCCCAGAGAAAUUUGGAUUAAUGCCCCAUGGUAUUUUAAAGUGGCAUCACUUUAUUAUUAAAGAUUCAUCGGUUCAAGAUGGGCA
rnacentral:rRNA from 1 species